UGGCGAUAGAUAAAAAGGCACCUUACUCAUCUCUUAGUUUGAAGAGUCAUUGUCGUCUGGCGAUGAACUUCUGAUCUUCUCAUGUUGACGUUGCUCCUGAGCUGCUGAAAAACACUGAAAAGACAACGCAGAAUCUGACAAAGAGAGACAACUGAAUUUUCAGCAUCUGCUCUUCACUAAAUCUAGAGAAUCUGAGGGAUUCGACUGAAUCAAGAUGCUGCUGAUCAUUGAAGCUCUUCUUCUCAUUUUAGCUGCUCUAGGACAGGAUCAUAGAGCUGCUGCUUCAAGAAAGAUAUUUCCACUGGAUAUGGCACUGAAUUCAGUUGAUGACAAUUAUGACGGCUAUAGAUAGAAAUCUCAAACUUGGUGGAGACCAAAUAUCUAGAAAAGGAAAUGCAAUCUAAUUUUGCAAAUGCUUGGAAACAUGCUGAAAAGAAUUAGAAGUGACCCGGAGAUAACUUGACAAAGAAUCAUUCAGUCGCUAUCUAUGUGUACACUAACUCUAAGUUUGAGAUAUAUAUGGAUUUCAAUAAUGCUGUUCCUAAAGAAAAGAAAAAACGGCUCCAUGUUCCUUCCGGCAGCGUAGUGUGACAGAAGACCCAACCAAUAUACAAUUUAUUGUGUGUUUCCCCUCCGUUUUGUUUUCAUUUUUUUUUUCAGU
rnacentral:lncRNA from 1 species